GAUGAACGCUGGCGGCGUGCCUAAUACAUGCAAGUCGAGCGAACAGACGAGGAGCUUGCUCCUCUGACGUUAGCGGCGGACGGGUGAGUAACACGUGGAUAACCUACCUAUAAGACUGGGAUAACUUCGGGAAACCGGAUCUAAUACCGGAUAAUAUAUUGAACCGCAUGGUUCAAUAGUGAAAGACGGUUUUGCUGUCACUUAUAGAUGGAUCCGAGCCGCAUUAGCUAGUUGGUAAGGUAACGGCUUACCAAGGCAACGAUGCGUAGCCGACCUGAGAGGGUGAUCGGCCACACUGGAACUGAGACACGGUCCAGACUCCUACGGGAGGCAGCAGUAGGGAAUCUUCCGCAAUGGGCGGAAGCCUGACGGAGCAAAGCCGCGUGAGUGAUGAAGGUCUUCGGAUCGUAAAACUCUGUUAUUAGGGAAGAACAAAUGUGUAAGUAACUAUGCACGUCUUGACGGUACCUAAUCAGAAAGCCACGGCUAACUACGUG
rnacentral:rRNA from 1 species